rnacentral:rRNA from 1 species
UACAGAGGUCUCAAGCGUUGUUCGGAUUCAUUGGGCGUAAAGGGUGCGUAGGUGGCGCCAUAAGUCAGGUGUGAAAUCUCGGAGCUUAACUCCGAAACUGCAUUUGAUACUGUGGUGCUUGAGGACUGGAGAGGAGACUGGAAUUCACGGUGUAGCAGUGAAAUGCGUAGAUAUUCGCAAGAACACCAGUGGCGAAGGCGGCUCACUGGCCCGGUACUGACGCUGAGGUGCGAAAGCGUGGGGAGCAAACAGG